GGCGUGUCACAGUCAGCUGAUCAUCGUGGAGCAGCGAGGUCAGGCGCCGCCCGCUGACCGCCAUGUGGUGAUCGUGACGGGCCAAUCAGAAGGCAGAGAAGUGUUUGUCAUCCCGUCCAAUCAGCUGGCUGUGAUCUCCCGGAGCCCGACAGGUCCUGUUGAUCCUGACUGCAGCAGCCAACCUCCCAGAGAACAGCCGGCAGCCGGCAGGUUGUUUCCCACAAUCCACUCUGUUACUAGUUGAUUCAUUAAGGCUCUCAUCAGCUCAGAAGAAGUUCCUCCGUGUGUUAAU